ACGUGGGCCACCACGCCCAGCCUCAAAGCCUCACCAUUUAACUAUAACAUUGACUGAUUCUAAGUACAUAAACUCUUUUUUUUUUUUUGGUACUGGGGAUUGAACUCGGGUCCUUGCGCUUACAAGGCAGGCCACCAAACUGCCUAGCUAAAUCCCCAGCCCUAAACUCUUAAUCAAUGUUUAUUGUCAUUUCUGAUAGAAAUAACUGUAGAGUGAUAGGUUAUAUAUUUCUCAUUUAAUUUAGGCUUAUCCAGAAAUUCUAGGAAUUUUCAUUUAAUUUAGGCUUAUCCAAAAAUUUUAGGAAUUUUCUUUUUUCUUUUUAAUUGAAAGCAAGGGUCUGAUCAGGCAAAUAACUUUUUACAUACUAAAGGUCUAUCUUGGACCCAAGGCUGCCGUUCAGGCUUCCUUUGAUAUACACACACAAAGAAAUCUUAAUUAUACCCAUUAGGGCCCAAGCUUUGGCACCCUGAGACAAGAACAUGACAGGAGCCUAAAAACAACAGUAAAUUCUUGCUGUGUUUGUGAAAUGUCAAUAAAGAUUUGGCUCUGAAGAGGGAAAAUGAAGCGUCCUGGAGUUUACUCCUGGCUUCAACCACCAUUUUCCAGCGUGAGCCCACCCAGGCCAGAGCAGAGCUAUCUUUAAAAUGGGAAUACUGUGUCUUUGACCCUGACCCAAGAUUCUUUACACCUCUGAUGAUUAGCAUCGUGUACAAAUGGGCCUUGGGUGAUAAUUUCUGAACCCAGAGAUUUUCCCUGAACUCUGGCCCAGGGGAGUUUUUCUCCCUGGAAGGGCGCACUUUUAGGGCGAUCCUCGCCCUUCCUGCUUUGCUUUCUCUCCCUAGAACUUGCCCUGGGGCUCGGAGGAGAAACCUGAAGGCCCAAAUUAGAUCUCUUUUCUUUCUCUUUGCCUUACUUAGGGCGAAACCUCCCAAGUACUGUUCUAGCGGAAAAGCAUUCUCUGGUCGAGCAGAUGGAGAAGAGACCCGGACCAGCGUGGUCCCUCCCAGCCACCCUCCCUUCGGGAUUAGCUACCCCCAGCGCCGCUCAGGCGCACCAGCCCGUGCGUCCCCGUUCGCCCAGCUUCCGUCGCCUCUCUGCAACCGCAAACCCGCCGCCAGCCUAGCCGAGCCAUCCCGGGCAUCCCCGCUCCCCGAGCCCGUGGACCUGGGACCUCGAACCCGGGACGCGCGCGCACGACAGCCGAGCAGGUGCUCCUUUUACAUGCUUGUCUUUUCCUUUCUCGCUCGAGCUGUCCGGUGAUGACUUUCGGCCUUAGUGACACCGAAAGGAAAAACGCGGAAGAGGGGAAGCCCUACAGGAUGAUUUAGCGGGGGCCCAGCCUCCUCUCCAAGGAGAGGUGCUUGCCAGGCGACUUUCUCGGUCCUCUUCGCUGGCCCCUUUAAGAAGCCAAAUCAGUCCAACUGCGGCUGUUUGUAUUGCUAAUCCCCAGGAGCCCCGUUAAAAAAAAAAAAAAAAAA
rnacentral:lncRNA from 1 species